UACGUAGGGGGCAAGCGUUGUCCGGAAUCAUUGGGCGUAAAGCGCGUGUAGGCGGCCUGAAAGGUCAGCUGUGAAAACUCGAGGCUCAACCUCGAGACGUCGGUUGAAACCAUCUGGCUAGAGCCCGGAAGAGGAGUGUGGAAUUCCCGGUGUAGCGGUGAAAUGCGCAGAUAUCGGGAAGAACACCCGUGGCGAAGGCGGCACUCUGGGACGGUACUGACGCUGAGACGCGAAAGCGUGGGGAGCAAACAGG
rnacentral:rRNA from 1 species